GGGGAAUCUUGCGCAAUGGGCGAAAGCCUGACGCAGCAACGCCGCGUGCGGGAUGACGGCCUUCGUGGUUGUAAACUGCUUUCAGCAGGGACGAAAAUGACGGUACCUGCAGAAGAAGCCCCGGCUAACUACGUGCCAGCAGCCGCGGUAAUACGUAGGGGGCGAGCGUUGUCCGGAUUCAUUGGGCGUAAAGAGCUCGUAGGCGGUUCAGUAAGUUGGGUGUGAAAGCUCCGGGCUCAACCCGGAGAGGCCACCCAAUACUGCUGUGACUUGAGUCCAGUAGAGGAGCGUGGAAUUCCUGGUGUAGCGGUGAAAUGCGCAGAUAUCAGGAGGAACACCAUUAGCGAAGGCGGCGCUCUGGGCUGGAACUGACGCUGAGGAGCGAAAGCGUGGGUAGCAAAC
rnacentral:rRNA from 1 species